rnacentral:rRNA from 1 species
UACGUAGGGGGCAAGCGUUGUCCGGAUUUAUUGGGCGUAAAGCGCGUGUAGGCGGCCACGCAGGUCCGCUGUGAAAACUCGAGGCUCAACCUCGAGCUGUCGGUGGAAACCGCGUGGCUAGAGUCCGGAAGAGGGGACUGGAAUUCCCGGUGUAGCGGUGGAAUGCGCAGAUAUCGGGAGGAACACCCGUGGCGAAGGCGGGUCCCUGGGACGGUACUGACGCUGAGGCGCGAAAGCCAGGGGAGCGAAUGGG